rnacentral:tRNA from 1 species
UCCUCGAUGGUCUAACGGUCAUGAUUUCCGCUUGUCAUCCAAUAGGAACAAGCGCGGGAGACCUGGGUUCGACUCCCAGUCGGGGAG